CGCGGGGUGGAGCAGUGGUAGCUCGUCGGGCUCAUAACCCGAAGGUCGUCAGUUCAAGUCUGGCCCCCGCAACCA
rnacentral:tRNA from 2 species